rnacentral:rRNA from 1 species
CUACGGGAGGCAGCAGUGGGGAAUCUUACGCAAUGGGCGAAAGCCUGACGCAGCAACGCCGCGUGGGGGAUGAAGGCUCUCGGGUUGUAAACCCCUUUCAGCAGGGACGAAAUUGACGGUACCUCCAGAAGAAGCCCCGGCCAACUACGUGCCAGCAGCCGCGGUAACACGUAGGGGGCGAGCGUUGUCCGGAUUUAUUGGGCGUAAAGAGCUCGUAGGUGGCUCGGUAAGUCGGGUGUGAAAUUUCGAGGCUCAACCUCGAAACGCCACCCGAUACUGCUGUGGCUAGAGUCCGGUAGGGGAGCGUGGAAUUCCUGGUGUAGCGGUGAAAUGCGCAGAUAUCAGGAGGAACACCAGCGGCGAAGGCGGCGCUCUGGGCCGGUACUGACACUGAGGAGCGAAAGCGUGGGGAUCAAACAGGAUUAGAAACCCCUGUAGUCC